GAUGAACGCUGGCGGCGUGCUUAACACGUGCAAGUCGAACGAGAAAUGUAGACGGAAACCUUCGGGCGGAAGCCUUCAUUUCGAGUGGCGGACGGGUGAGUAACGCGUGGGUAACCUGCCUCAUACAGGGGGAUAACAGUUGGAAACGACUGUUAAUACCGCAUAAGACCACAGCAUCGCAUGAUGCGGGGGUAAAAACUCCGGUGGUAUGAGAUGGACCCGCGUUCGAUUAGCCAGUUGGCGGGGUAACGGCCCACCAAAGCGACGAUCGAUAGCCGAUCUGAGAGGAUGACCGGCCACAUUGGGACUGAGACACGGCCCAAACUCCUACGGGAGGCAGCAGUGGGGAAUAUUGCACAAUGGGGGAAACCCUGAUGCAGCGACGCCGCGUGAGUGAAGAAGUACUUCGGUAUGUAAAGCUCUAUCAGCAGGGAAGAAAAUGACGGUACCUGAGUAAGAAGCCCCGGCUAACUACGUG
rnacentral:rRNA from 1 species